UGUGACAAAUAUGCAUCUCCCUCGUUAACGGGUAUGCAAACAAGCGAAAAUACAAUGCUUUCUUCCUGGAGAGCUUUGUAGAAUACAUAUAUCUCACAUUUCUGUGUGCUGUUAUGCAGAGUAAUGAUGGCAGAUACUGGUGUAGCAGGAGCUUGGCCUGAAGCCCGUGCCUGAUUCUUCUCUGUGUGAGGACUUGGUUCUUAGUUUGGCUGUGGGGAACAAAUUUGGAACUGUCGUCAACUGCAUGACUUCAGUUCAGGCUUAAAACCUUAUCUAGCUUAUUGUGAUUGUCU
rnacentral:lncRNA from 1 species